rnacentral:RNase_P_RNA from 1 species
AGUAAGACAGGUGGUCGCUGCUGCAGGAACGAAAGGCUGCAGGGGAGGAAAGUCCGGGCUCCACAGGGCAGGAUGCCAGAUAACGUCUGGUGGAGGCGACUCCAAGGACAGUGCAACAGAAAUAAACCGCAGGAGAGAUCCUGUAAGGGUGGAAAGGCAGUGUAAGAGACUACCGCCUUCCUGGCAACAGGGAGGGCACAUGUAAACCCCAUCCGGAGCAAGGCCGAACAGGGGGCAUGGGCGGCCCGUCCGCCCCCGGGUAGGCCGCUGGAGCCUGGCGGUGACGCCAGGCCUGGAUAGAUGAUCACCCAACGACAUAACCCGGCUUAUCGUCUUGCUCA